UUGAGUUUAUUUCAUACACGUUAUCAGUAUGAAGCUCUAUCAAUCAGAUGAUGCUUGGGUAGUGGUGUUGAACCUUUGAUUUAAAGUGAAAGUCAAAUAAAUUGCAGACAUUAUACCAUACAUAUGCUUCAUCCAGGUUAACUAUUCCACCUUACUUCUUGGUUAUAUAUUUGGGUGAAAUUUAUACCUGUUAUGAAUUUGUGCAAAUGAUAUCUUGAUAUUUGAUUUGAUCGGUAUUAUACUAUACCUCUUGUGAAGUUGUUCUUAAUAUAUUAUCAUUUAAUUGGUAGAUGAGAAAUAAAAAUCCCUUAGUGGAUAAUGGAUGAAGAAAGUUAUGAUUUAUGAAUACCAAUUGAAUAAGAUAUGC
rnacentral:lncRNA from 1 species